rnacentral:rRNA from 1 species
CGGCAACAGCAUCAAUUUGAAAUCUGGCCUCUUGGGGUCCGAGUUGUAAUUUGUAGAGGAUGUUUCGGGUACCGCCUCGGUUUAAAUUUCUUGGAACAGAAUGUCAAAGAGGGUGAGAAUCCCGUCUUGGACCGGCGGUAGGGCCUAUGUGAAACUCCUUCGACGAGUCGAGUUGUUUGGGAAUGCAGCUCAAAAUGGGUGGUAAAUUUCAUCUAAAGCUAAAUAUUGGCCAGAGACCGAUAGCGCACAAGUAGAGUGAUCGAAAGAUGAAAAGCACUUUGAAAAGAGAGUUAAACAGUAUGUGAAAUUGUUGAAAGGGAAGCGCUUGCAACCAGACUUGAGCGCGGCGGUUCCCCCUUGCUUCUGCUUGGGUUACUCCGCCGUGUCCAGGCCAACAUCGGUUCUGGGGGUCGGUCAAAGGCUCUGGGAAUGUAUCUACCCACGGGUAGACUUAUAGACCAGGGUGUCAUGCGACCUCCCGGGACCGAGGAACGCGCUUCGGCUCGGAUGUUGGCGUAAUGGUUGUCAGCGACCC